GCUGGGCAUGGUGGUGCAUGCCUGUAGUCCCAGCUACUUGGGAGGCUGAGGCAGGAGAAUUGCUUGAACCCAGGAGGUGGAGGUUGCAGCGAGCCGGGUCGUGCCACUGCACUCCAGCCUGGGUGACAGAGUGAAAUUCCGUCUCAA
rnacentral:SRP_RNA from 1 species